UACAGAGGUCCCAAGCGUUGUUCGGAUUCACUGGGCGUAAAGGGUGCGUAGGCGGUCGGGUAAGUCUGAUGUGAAAUCUCACAGCUUAACUGUGAAACUGCAUUGGAUACUAUCCGGCUUGAGGAAUGGAGGGGAGACGUGGAAUACUUGGUGUAGCAGUGAAAUGCGUAGAUAUCAAGUGGAACACCGGUGGCGAAGGCGGGUCUCUGGGCCGAUACUGACGCUGAGGAGCGAAAGCGUGGGGAGCGAACAGG
rnacentral:rRNA from 1 species